rnacentral:rRNA from 1 species
AUGGCGGACAGGCUUCAACGGAGAGGAUGGCCAAAUUGCGGCCUAUGCCAGUUAUGCAAGAGGCAGCCAGAGACGGCGGCACACAUCAUCUUCCGCUGUCGAUACACGGUACACAUUUGGACGGAGAUCAAGACUUGGAUGGGUUUGAUCGGUGUGGACAUCACCGACUGGAGUAGCUUCAACAGCGUCAACGAUUGGUGGCACCACAUGGUAGGCGUCAAUGGUAAUGUGAGAAAGGGCCUCACAUCUCUCGUCAUGUUGGUUUCAUGGGAGAUUUGGAACGAGCGGAAUGUGAGAGUAUUUAGGAUGGUGUCCUCCAUGCCAAAUGUAAUCACGUCUAGAAUCAAGGCGGAGGUCAGACUUUGGGGGUUGGCAGGGGCCAUACAUCUGAGUUCUCGUAAUCCAACCCAAAGCUCAUAG